AUUAAUAGCUUCAGAGCAUUGAUGCUGGUUAAGUUACAGACCCAGCAAGGACCAUGGGUAACUGACCAGAUAAGCCCUGAAGUCCCCAUCAUCGCCAUCACUGCCACCCUGAUGCGUUCCUCUUGCAAGCGGCCAGAGCAGCCCUUGUCGGUUGCAGGAAAAGCCCCAGUGGGGGGUGUGUCCCGUCUGCCUGGAAGGUGUCCAGUGGGACCCCAGCUGAAGUGGAAUGGAGACGUGCACAGCAGAGUGAUUUCUGAACAAGAGUCGUCCCCGAGAACGGAUAAGCACAUGCAAACGGCUGUCCCCCAGAUCCGAGAGGACAGUCACUGGCACGGUUUCUAACUCCAAAGGACAGGAGAGGGAGACGCAAGAAAGUAGCUCGACGAGAAGCGGCUCUGAAUACGCCGGCCCAGCAGCCUCGCUCCAGGUUUGCACAAGGAAGUUGAAAGCAUGCGUUACCUGCUAGGCUCGGAAACAAGGGCACCGUUCGGGGGGAAAGACAGGAUUUUCCCGAGAGUGUCUUAAUUCAGCACAUGCUCCCCGAGCGCUCCUUCCGCCCGGGCCCUGAGCGCCUGGCUGCUCUGCCUGGCAGCUCGGAAACGCUCUCCCUUGAAGCAGGGAGUUUAUUUCGGGCCCACCGCAUGACCAAUGAUAGCAAGCCAAAGUAUAAGAUGUUAUGAAUCUCAGAUUUCCUGUUUGGAGACUGCAGAGGCAGCGGCUGUGGUCCUGCCUUCAGCCCCUCCAGGGUGCACCGGCCCCGCACUUUGCUUCAGCGAGCACCUCGGAGCGUUGGCCCUCACGUGACGUCACCAUUUGGGAUCCUUGACAUGGAGGCCAUAUAUGGGCCAGACAAACCUCUGAAAGUCAACAGAACUGAAGAAACUCACUCUCUGAACCUUGUUGACAUAUCCCUGGACUCAGCUCUUGCAAAUCAAGAGCCCAAAUUGUGGGUGAAGAGUCACAGGGAACGCAGACGACAAAGGGGGGACUGGCCAGGCACACUGACUGAAAUGAAGAGGAUGGUGGUCAGUCAGAAACAACGGUUCUUAACUGAGGACACUUCCCCCCAGAGUCAGUGGACAAUUCUUGGAGACAUUUUUUGGUAGCUAUAACUGAGGACGGGGUUUGCUACUGGCAUCAAGUCUCCAUUUCUUUUUUGGUGCACAUGUGGGGCGAGAGGCGCCUGACACAUUAAAAGAGCUGGGGCCUAGCCACCAAGGUGCCAGUCUUGGUCCUUCCGGAAAGUUCUAUGGAAAUUGUUUUCCUGCCUGGAGCCCCAAGAAAAGGAGGAAGGGGCUGCAUCGUGUGGCUGCCAAGAACACAGGCCCCAACAAACUCAGAGUGCCCUCACCCCCGACUGAGCGGCUACACGCUGCUGCCCCCACCCAUCUCUCCUCUGAGAUGAAAAACUCUAAUUGUGAAUCAACUGGAAUUCAAGUCAAACCCACCUGAAUAUGUGCAACACCAGAAAUAAAAAAUGGGGUAACAAUGA